rnacentral:rRNA from 1 species
UACGUAGGGGGCUAGCGUUGUCCGGAAUCAUUGGGCGUAAAGCGCGUGUAGGCUGUCCGGUAAGUCCGCUGUGAAAGUCGGGGGCUCAACCCUCGGAUGCCGGUGGAUACUGUCGGGCUUGAGUACGGAAGAGGCGAGUGGAAUUCCUGGUGUAGCGGUGAAAUGCGCAGAUAUCAGGAGGAACACCAAUUGCGAAGGCAGCUCGCUGGGACGUUACUGACGCUGAGACGCGAAAGCGUGGGGAGCAAACAGG